rnacentral:rRNA from 1 species
AUGAAGGAUGAACACUUCCAACCCAUCAUGGAUAGGUUUGGGAAACGAUGUAACGAUUGGUCUGAGAGGUUCAUGUCGUAUGCAGCUAAGGAAGUCCACAUCAAAUCAGUUGUCCAAGCCCUUCCAACCUUUACAAUGAGCGUGUUCAAGCUCUCGAAAGGAUUCUUUGAGAAAUAUGAAAGAAUGAUUAGGGACUUCUGA